AGGGGGGCAAAUAUUUGUAGCUUGGAAGGUUUUAUUGAGAGAAGGAAUUGCAUUUUGAUGAGGGGAAUGCUCCCUGGUGGUGGAUAAGCUAUAUGACAUUGCUUAGAGCCACAUCAGCGUUCAGUAGGGAAUCAGAAUGGAGAUUCCUGAAGAUGCUUCUGUUGAAGGCAAAGGUGACCUCCUUUCAGCAGCGUGUUAGUUGGUAUGGCGCGGACAGCUGCUGUGACUGCAAGGCAGGUUUCUUUAUUUAAGGAGGAAGAAACCAUACGUAUCACCAGGGAUAAUUUUAAAUGCAGAGGAAUUCUCAUGUAGUGUGAAAUACUCCUGAGCUGUUUCCUGAGACAUACGCCUAGAUAGGAUUUUCUCUGGAGAAAACAAGGGGGAAAUGUUACAUGCCAGAUGUUUUCUUAAACAGACUUGCUAAAUAAGAUCAUUUUAAUCGGUCUGGGUUCAAAACAACUUCACUUGCUGUGUCAGGAAUUACUACUCUCCUGACACUCAAUAAAAGGUGCAGAUCUUAAAAGCAUUUGAUGAUUUUCAUUUAUUUUUUAGUUGAUAUUUCGAAUGGAAAUAGUCUCCUCUCCUGGAAGGAAACCAAAUGAAACCAAGCGUUGGGUGCU